UCUGGUGCCAGCAGCCGCGGUAAUUCCAGCUCCAAUAGCGUAUAUUAAAGUUGUUGCGGUUAAAAAGCUCGUAGUUGGACUUGUGUCCCACGCCGUCGGUUCGUCGCCCGUCGACGUAACCGCACGGUCAAUGACUAAGUGGGACGUCCAGCCGGUGAGGUGCAGGUCGUCCGUCGGGCGGGCCGCGUGCGCUGCGCGCGCGUCCACCUUCGCGGGUGGUCGCGUCGUGGCCUCGUGGUUUCGCGCGCGGGCGGUGCCGAUCUCAUUCUACUCGGCUCGGUGCUCUUAAUCGAGUGUCUUGCCGGGCCGGCUCGUUUACUUUGAACAAAUUAGAGUGCUUAAAGCAGGCUGUAAACGCUUGAAUAUUGUGUGCAUGGAAUAAUGGAAUAGGAUCUCGGUUCUAUUUUGUUGGUUUUCUGAACCAGAGAUAAUGAUUAAUAGAGACUGACGGGGGCAUUCGUAUUGCGACGUUAGAGGUGAAAUUCUUGGAUCGUCGCAAGACGAACCGAAGCGAAAGCGUUUGCCAAGAACGUUUUCUUUAAUCAAGAACGAAAGUUAGAGGUUCGAAGGCGAUCAGAUACCGCCCUAGUUCUAACCAUAAACGAUGCCAACUAGCGAUCCGCCGGUGUUCCUCCGAUGACCCGGCGGGCAGCUUCCGGGAAACCAAAGUGUUUGGGUUCCGGGGGAAGUAUGGUUGCUGAAACUUAAAGGAAUUGACGGAAGGGCACCACCAGGAGUGGAGCCUGCGGCUUAAUUUGACUCAACACGGGAAACCUCACCAGGCCCGGACACUGGAAGGAUUGACAGAUUGAUAGCUCUUUCUUGAUUCAGUGGGUGGUGGUGCAUGGCCGUUCUUAGUUGGUGGAGCGAUUUGUCUGGUUAAUUCCGAUAACGAACGAGACUCUGGCCUGCUAACUAGUCGCGCAAUCAAACGACAUCCGCAUUCGUGCUGUCGGCGACAACAAUAAACUCUUUCUUAGAGGGACAGGCGGCUUCUAGCCGCACGAGAUUGAGCAAUAACAGGUCUGUGAUGCCCUUAGAUGUUCUGGGCCGCACGCGCGCUACACUGAAGGGAUCAACGUGUGUCUCACCCCUUGGCCGAGAGGUCCGGGUAACCCGCUGAACCCCCUUCGUGCUAGGGAUUGGGGCUUGCAAUUCUUCCCCAUGAACGAGGAAUUCCCAGUAAGCGCGAGUCAUAAGCUCGCGUUGAUUACGUCCCUGCCCUUUGUACACACCGCCCGUCGCUACUACCGAUUGAAUGAUUUAGUGAGGUCUUCGGACCGUCGCGCGGCAGCGCACGCAAGUGCCUGCCGAUGUCGACGGAAAGAUGAUCAAACUUGAUUAUUUAAAGGAAGUAAAAGUCGUAACAAGGUUUCCGUAGGUGGAAA
rnacentral:rRNA from 1 species